CAGGAAAUAGUUUAAUUAAAAUAUUAAUUUUGGAGAUUAAAGUUGGAAGAAUUUCUUUUCCUGA
rnacentral:tRNA from 1 species